CCUUGCCAGCCCGCUCAGAAACUCAAAGGAAUUGACGGGGCCCGGCACAAGCGGAGGAGCAUGUGGUUUAAUUUCGAUGAUACGCGAGGAACCUUACCUGGGCUCGAACGUAAGAUGACUGUAGGUGAAAGCUUACAUCUCUUCGGAGCAUUUUACGAGGUGCUGCAUGGUUGUCGUCAGCUCGUGCCGUGAGGUGUCGGGUUAAGUCCCAUAACGAGCGCAACCCCUACCUUUAGUUGCCAUCAGGUUAAGCUGGGGACUCUAAAGGAACUGCCUACGCAAGUAGUGAGGAAGGCGGGGAUGACGUCAAAUCAGCACGGCCCUUACGUCCAGGGCUACACACGUGCUACAAUGGCCGAUACAGAGGGCAGCUACCUGGUGACAGGAUGCAAAUCUCCAAAGUCGGUCUCAGUUCGGAUCGGAGUCUGCAACCCGACUCCGUGAAGUUGGAUUCGCUAGUAAUCGCGCAUCAGCCAUGGCGCGGUGAAUACGUUCCCGGGCCUU
rnacentral:rRNA from 1 species